rnacentral:rRNA from 1 species
UUGAACGCUGGCGGCAGGCCUAACACAUGCAAGUCGAACGGUAACAGGAAACAGCUUGCUGUUUCGCUGACGAGUGGCGGACGGGUGAGUAAUGUCUGGGAAACUGCCUGAUGGAGGGGGAUAACUACUGGAAACGGUAGCUAAUACCGCAUAACGUCGCAAGACCAAAGAGGGGGACCUUCGGGCCUCUUGCCAUCGGAUGUGCCCAGAUGGGAUUAGCUAGUAGGUGGGGUAACGGCUCACCUAGGCGACGAUCCCUAGCUGGUCUGAGAGGAUGACCAGCCACACUGGAACUGAGACACGGUCCAGACUCCUACGGGAGGCAGCAGUGGGGAAUAUUGCACAAUGGGCGCAAGCCUGAUGCAGCCAUGCCGCGUGUAUGAAGAAGGCCUUCGGGUUGUAAAGUACUUUCAGCGGGGAGGAAGGGAGUAAAGUUAAUACCUUUGCUCAUUGACGUUACCCGCAGAAGAAGCACCGGCUAACUCCGUGCCAGCAGCCACGGUAAUACGGAGGGUGCAAGCGUUAAUCGGAAUUACUGGGCGUAAAGCGCACGCAGGCGGUUUGUUAAGUCAGAUGUGAAAUCCCCGGGCUCAACCUGGGAACUGCAUCUGAUACUGGCAAGCUUGAGUCUCGUAGAGGGGGGUAGAAUUCCAGGUGUAGCGGUGAAAUGCGUAGAGAUCUGGAGGAAUACCGGUGGCGAAGGCGGCCCCCUGGACGAAGACUGACGCUCAGGUGCGAAAGCGUGGGGAGCAAACAGGAUUAGAUACCCUGGUAGUCCACGCCGUAAACGAUGUCGACUUGGAGGUUGUGCCCUUGAGGCGUGGCUUCCGGAGCUAACGCGUUAAGUCGACCGCCUGGGGAGUACGGCCGCAAGGUUAAAACUCAAAUGAAUUGACGGGGGCCCGCACAAGCGGUGGAGCAUGUGGUUUAAUUCGAUGCAACGCGAAGAACCUUACCUGGUCUUGACAUCCACGGAAGUUUUCAGAGAUGAGAAUGUGCCUUCGGGAACCGUGAGACAGGUGCUGCAUGGCUGUCGUCAGCUCGUGUUGUGAAAUGUUGGGUUAAGUCCCGCAACGAGCGCAACCCUUAUCCUUUGUUGCCAGCGGUCCGGCCGGGAACUCAAAGGAGACUGCCAGUGAUAAACUGGAGGAAGGUGGGGAUGACGUCAAGUCAUCAUGGCCCUUACGACCAGGGCUACACACGUGCUACAAUGGCGCAUACAAAGAGAAGCGACCUCGCGAGAGCAAGCGGACCUCAUAAAGUGCGUCGUAGUCCGGAUUGGAGUCUGCAACUCGACUCCAUGAAGUCGGAAUCGCUAGUAAUCGUGGAUCAGAAUGCCACGGUGAAUACGUUCCCGGGCCUUGUACACACCGCCCGUCACACCAUGGGAGUGGGUUGCAAAAGAAGUAGGUAGCUUAACCUUCGGGAGGGCGCUUACCACUUUGUGAUUCAUGACUGGGGUG